AACUGGGCUAGAGGGCCGGGAAAUCGUUCCUCCGGCAGCGAUUUGCUUUUAAGACGGGCGGUCUGUAUUCGUGCGGUUAAGCGAGUGUGCGAAACACUGGCGGAGAGUUACAUACGAGAGAAGUGGUGACAAAUACGAACCCAGUGAAUCGGGACAUGCGGAUUUUACAGUGCACUCCUCUAACCCUGAUGAUCUGGCUUCGGUAUGGUCAUAACCACGAAGUCGUAUCGAACGAUUUAAACGCCACGCAUAAGCUAUCUUUUUGAACACUGACGAAGUCAGCUCACUUCGUGUCUUCCUCCACGGUGCAGUUCCACUUGUAAAAGUGGCGUGCAGAUAGCACGCCGGGUAAACAGCAAUAGUAACAGCACCAACAGCACCGAGUGCCGUCAAUGGCCACGAUAAACGGCAUUACGCGUACGUUUCACGGGCCACAAGCGAGCCAAAAUCCCCGGCGUGGACUCGCCUAAUCGAAACGGAACUGGAACUGUCCGACCACCGUGCCCCGCUCGCAUACUACUAUCUAGCGGAGGUUUCUCUCUUUCUCCCUUUCUCGCUUGCUCGCUUGCUCGUUCUCGCGCUCCCUCUUUCCUUUCCUCUCUACUCCGCUCCUAUGUACGGCAAAUGAGCAACGCGCGAGAUUCCGAGAUGCGGCAAAAGGUGCAACCUCCACCUCCCCGCGACGCCACUACCGCCCUGCGAUCACAGCAGACAGAGAAGAGAAAGAGAGAAAUUUGGAGAGAGCGAGAGAGAAACACAGAGAGAUCGAGAGGCCUAUGAGAGGAAGUAGAGAGACAAAGAGAGGAAGAGAGAUGAGGAGACGGAGGAGGAAGAGAAAAGAGUGAGAGAGAGAGAGAAUGACAGGGAGAGGAAGAGGAGGGCAAACAGAGGUUGGCAAGUUGGUGGAGAGGGAUGGACGGCGUGUCAGUUAGAAAGAGAACUAGCUGACUGAGGGAGAGGUUUCGCAGAGGGAGGGUCAGGAGCGGUGAAGGGAGAGGAAAAGGGAGCCGGAGGGAGGCAUAUGAGACAUUCCUUCAGUGAACGGGUCGACCGAGUGUGAGUGCAAGCGAGCCGGUAAAAUCGAUGUGGCGAAGUGUGGCUCUGCCACUACGGUGUGCAAAGGGUGUGUUGUACCCUGUAUGUGAUCGGUGCUCUGCCUUGUGGCGUUAUUUUGUAGAUACAGAAAUAAGUAGUACGAUUCGUCGCAUUUGUCUCUAAACCGAUUCGUUCGGAGGAAUUAUGUGGAAUAUUUUACGCAUGACAGCAUUUUGAUGCCAAUGUCACAUUAUUUGUAUAGUCUUUAAUAUCACUGAACUUACAGUAUAUUUUGAACACAGUUCACGCAAUAAUUUCGACAUUAAGCUUCCGCUUAAAUUAUUUUUUCGUUUCUACGCCUACAAUUAUUAUACGUAGGUAUCAUUGCUCUUUCGUAUCACCAUCCUCUCCACUUUUUUCCAUGAGAAGUCAUCACGGUCAUUCAAAACACAUCGUCUAUCAAAUUUGUUACGAUACAAUAUUAUAUUUGAAUGAAUUAUGCUGAGACGUCAUGUUUCAAGAAACACUGAAUUCUUGUUAUUGGCAAUCAUUUGAAAGGGAAAAAACAAAUAUUCAUACAAUCCGAUUGUCGGCAUUUGAUCGGUAAUAUCGAAUUAAACAAGCUAACAAUAGUAAUAGGAAAAGUACAUACCCGGUGAGAAUACACGAGGUUGUCUAGGAGUAUGCUCGGAUUCGUUUGCAACACUAUUUUAAUUCGACGAAUCUUGUACUGAUUUGCACGAUCGUGUAAGGCAUCGUGUACAUAGGAUGGCACCUGCCUCAGAGUUGAACAUAGAGCGCCCUCGCAGUGGUUUCACUAGUUACGCUCCUGCAAUACGCCGUGCCGACGCGUGCUUCAGCCUGUGCGAGGGCGUAUUGGCGAGAUGUAGUUCCAGCGGAGGGGAUUGAAAGAACCAAACGUACGUACGAGAUGACGGCUCGACGGACGAACAUAACCGGUCGGGCGGGAGGGCAGGCGGGAGAGUAUGUCAGGUUUAGGUCGACCAGCAGAGCGUUUCUCAGUAGUCGCGUUUCCACACUCCGAUGGGGCGGUCGUAUCUUGCUUUCUUUGUCGUGUAAUUAGAUCGUGUGUUUUCUCCUUCGAUUUUAUAAUUCUUGACUAAAUACAGUCAUACCUAUUUAUAAUGCCGUCGAGCAUUAUUUAUUGUGCUGUUGCAUUAUUAUUUCGAGUUUGUGACUUGAAGCAGUUUCUGUGAAGAAUCAUGAUACUUGUGAUCGAAUAAUAAUAAGUUUCUUAAUAAUAUAUUUCUAAGAGAGUACCCAUGUAAAAUCCGGGAAGCUCGAGGGCCGAAGUAACGAACGUGCGGCUAUGUGAACUGUCUCACGAACGCGCUCAUGGAUACAGAAUACGACGAAAGUUGUUCAAUACCUAGGGGGACAUUAUGUGGUGGAACUUUUAUUUUUCCUGGUGUACACUCCAAGGUUAGGAAGAAGAAGAGGCAGAGCGGAUAUCUCAACGUCAACUGCGUAUGUAGGAAAACUCAAAAUGCACAGUGGAAAACUUCGGUCCCAAAAUAGCAAAACGUAGAAAAAUGAAAAGAGAAAAGCAUUUCCAGAAAACGAAUAAAAAAGAACACAAUAUAAAUUCAGAAAAAUCUACUGAUAGAUACGUGGUUUAUAAUGAACAUUAUAUUCAUUCAACAACAGAAGAAGAAUGGAUUCAUUGCAUGUAAUGGCAAGGGUGUGCCCAUGAAAAUUGAACCAGUGCGGAAAAGGAAAAUGAUACAUUCAUUUGUGAUUUUGUUUACAAAAUAAUAUAUAUUUUUAUGUUUAUUUACGUGAAUUAAUAAUUUUCAUUUAAUAGAAAUAAAGAAUUUGUAUUUUUAUAUGAUUCUAAUUCGGUGUUCUGUUUUAUCCUACCAUUUUAGCGAAGCGGAUAUUUCAAUACUUUUGAAAAAUUGUAUUUGCCUUCAUAACUAACUAUUCUUCUUAAGAACAUCUGUUAUUUCCUUAUAGCCUAAGGCGUAUUUAGGAUUUCCAAAAAAGCGUCUUUUCAUGCGUUUAUUGUUCCAGAUACUUUAUUAUUACGAUUUAAAGUAAAGCGUUCCAUUUUGCUUCACAUUUCCCUAUACGAUGUUCUUGUUAUGUUUUCAUCGACAUUAAUAUUACAUGCAUUAUGUUAAAGUACUUUCCAUAUUAUUACAUAAUACAGACAGUUUCUAAUAAGUAUUUUAAAUAUCUUUAUCCGGAGAUCAAAUAUUAGAGAAUAAUACAAUUCAAUUUUGACAUCAAAAUUCAAUUAUUUUCUACAAAGGACACUGUCACGCGCUGUCACCGUUCGGAUAACUUGCAACUUUACUUCUUCCUCACCUUUUUAGAUGAUUUUUAAAUAUCUUGUAGAAAUCGAUAUUUUGAGCAACUUUUCUUCUUACAAAAGUGUCGGACUAUUUUAGAUUUUGAGAUAUUCAUA